rnacentral:rRNA from 1 species
GACGAACGCUGGCGGCGUGCCUAAUACAUGCAAGUAGAACGCUGAAGGAGGAGCUUGCUCUUCUGGAUGAGUUGCGAACGGGUGAGUAACGCGUAGGUAACCUGCCUGGUAGCGGGGGAUAACUAUUGGAAACGAUAGCUAAUACCGCAUAACAGUAGAUGUUGCAUGACAUUUGCUUAAAAGGUGCAAUUGCACCACUACCAGAUGGACCUGCGUUGUAUUAGCUAGUUGGUGGGGUAACGGCUCACCAAGGCGACGAUACAUAGCCGACCUGAGAGGGGGAUCGGCCACACUGGGACUGAGACACGGCCCAGACUCCUACGGGAGGCAGCAGUAGGGAACCUUCGGCAAUGGACGGAAGUCUGACCGAGCAACGCCGCGUGAGUGAAGAAGGUUUUCGGAUCGUAAAGCUCUGUUGUAAGAGAAGAACGAGUGUGAGAGUGGAAAGUUCACACUGUGACGGUAUCUUACCAGAAAGGGACGGCUAACUACGUG